AGAAAAUGCUAUGCAAAACCUUUCAGGUCUUCGUGAGUAAAUGCGGGACUUCACACUAAGCUUUUAUAUAAAAUAUUAGCUACUAGAUUUUUAAUGGCUUCACACUGAGCUCACGAAAAUAGCGGCAAUAAAAAGGAUAUAACUAUAAAUAUGGACUAUUAAUAUUUGCUUAAACGAAUGGCGGCUGCGGCGUAUGCGGGGCACGUAGCCCCACACUGGUAAACGGCAGCUAACAAAUAUCAUUACAAUGUCAAGAAAUGGCACGUUAAACAACAACAACAAAAACAACAACGCCUUUACAUCAUCAUAAUGCCAUUUAUUAGAAAACAAAAGCAAAAACAAAGGUCAAGCAUUGACCUUCUACCGUCAGAUAAUAGAAUACAUAAAAAUAAGCAGAAAUAAUCAGAAAUAAGCAUAAAUAGACAACAAUAGAAAUGUGAAAUUGAAAAGGCAAAUUGAAGUGAA